AGAGAAACUUUCUGAAAUCUGUAACUGAUUUCCCUGGUCUGACUUUGGGAUUUGGAGUCUUUGUGAAAAAAAAUCUAAACCCUACCACACAAUCACUAGCAUUUAAGAAAAAAUAAUAAGAAAAUAAAUGGGUUUUUUGCUUCUCCUGAUUUCUGUGAGGAGCUCCAUGUUCAGCACCUGACUGAUCUACCAGUUUGGAGGGGGGACCCUUUAUGUCCUUUUAAAGGGAGUCUGAGUCAUUUCCUCUGCUGGAGAAUGAACAGUGCUGAGACUGUGCCCUAAGCCCUGCAGUGACACUUCGAGGGAUGGCGAGAGCCCCAUGGGAAAGCUUUCUGCUGGAGCUACUAGAGAUAGAGGAAGAAAUAUCCCCUUCCUACGUGAAUCCACGGACCAGGAGUAAAGAUAAGGGGUGACCAGUCUCCCUGACCUUGCCAUGGAGGUCUAUUGAAGUUCACUUGUCGACUU
rnacentral:lncRNA from 1 species